CCAAAGAGGGGGACCUUCGGGCCUCUUGCCAUCGGAUGUGCCCAGAUGGGAUUAGCUUGUUGGUGGGGUAACGGCUCACCAAGGCGACGAUCCCUAGCUGGUCUGAGAGGAUGACCAGCCACACUGGAACUGAGACACGGUCCAGACUCCUACGGGAGGCAGCAGUGGGGAAUAUUGCACAAUGGGCGCAAGCCUGAUGCAGCCAUGCCGCGUGUAUGAAGAAGGCCUUCGGGUUGUAAAGUACUUUCAGCGGGGAGGAAGGGAGUAAAGUUAAUACCUUUGCUCAUUGACGUUACCCGCAGAAGAAGCACCGGCUAACUCCGUGCCAGCAGCCGCGGUAAUACGGAGGGUGCAAGCGUUAAUCGGAAUUACUGGGCGUAAAGCGCACGCAGGCGGUUUGUUAAGUCAGAUGUGAAAUCCCCGGGCUCAACCUGGGAACUGCAUCUGAUACUGG
rnacentral:rRNA from 1 species